GCUACGGCCCGCGUCGGGA
rnacentral:miRNA from 1 species